rnacentral:rRNA from 1 species
AGUGAACGCUGGCGGCAGGCCUAAUACAUGCAAGUCGAACGGCAGCACAGUGGAGCUUGCUCCAUGGGUGGCGAGUGGCGGACGGGUGAGGAAUACAUGGGAAUCUGCCCAGUCGUGGGGGAUAACGUAUGGAAACGUACGCUAUUACCGCAUGCGCCCUUCGGGGAAAGGUCGGGGACCGCAAGGCCUCGACGCGAUUGGAUGAGCCCAUGUUCGAUUAGCUAGUUGGCGGGGUAACGGCCCACCAAGGCGACGAUCGAUAGCUGGUCUGAGAGGAUGAUCAGCCACACUGGAACUGAGACACGGUCCAGACUCCUACGGGAGGCAGCAGUAGGGAACAUUGGACAAUGGGGGCGAACCCUGAUCCAGCCAUGCCGCGUGAGUGAAGAAGGCCCUCGGGUUGUAAAG